AUACCUUUCUCGGCCUUUUGGCUAAGAUCAAGUGUAGUAUCUGUUCUUAUCAGUUUAAUAUCUGAUAUGUGGAUCAUUGAUUCACACGAUAUUAAAUUAAUUUUUUGAGGGGGAAGAUCCGUCUCAGUAGCUUGCUAUUGGGGUCUUUAAGUGUCACCCAUGCGUUACACUAUUGCAAGGGUCUGGCGCACCCCAC
rnacentral:snRNA from 1 species